ACCACGCGUUCCAGAUCGCAUUCAGAAAAACUCAAGUGGCAAAUAAUGAAGUAUUCUUUAGUGGCAUUCAUGAUGUUGACAUACGUCGCAGAAGUAAAAUGUGUCUCUUGCCCAGUGAGAUUUAAAGACGGCAAGUGUUAUUUUCAAGGCCUAGCAGUCUACAAUGGUCAAACAUUUAAUUUCCGCGACCCAUGUGUGCAAGUUUUCUGCAAUUUUGCAAAACGAACCGUUGUAGUAAAAGGAUGUCACACUCGGGAAGCUCUCGGAAGACCAACCGGACUUUAUCCUGGCUGCUGCCGCGAUUGCGUGCCGUUGUGCAGCUAAAGACGCCAUAUGUCCGCAGAAGACUCAUUGUAAAAGCUCACCUUGUAGAUUAUAACAAAACAAACGGGCGAAUGAGAUGAAUAAAAGAAGUAACCAUAUAUUGAAGAGUUCUUCCAGUUUUCAUCCACGAAACAUAAUAAAAAUUUU
rnacentral:lncRNA from 1 species